rfam:Beauveria bassiana D1-5 contig00271, whole genome shotgun sequence.
CAGUGAACAGGUAGCUGUGGAGCCUGGGGCGGUAGCGUG